ACAAGGCAGUUAUCCCACUGUUACGAGGCUGUCAUUGAAAAUAAGAAUUUGUUCUUAACUGACUUGCCUAGUUAAAUAAAGGCUAAAAAAAACAUUUUAAAAAUCAGCUUCUUGAUAUGUAGGGCCCUAUGAUUUCCGCGAUGUGGAAAACUCAGAAGGAAUUGCAGAAAUUGAUAAUAAAAUUAUCAAUUGUAAAAAGUGGAAUAUUUCAGAAUUUUCCAUAUUUUGACUGAAAUUGAUUUUUUUUUUAUAUAAAAAAAAAACAGAAGUAGGCCUAAUGAUUGUAGUAACCUAAAUGAUUUCAGAUUUGUAAAAUUACAGACGAGUAGGCCUAGAGAAAUAAUUCAGUUUUCGAUUGAGGUGUUUUGAGGGGGGGUUGGUCGUGCGUUGGAACCCUUACGUCAACCUCACAACUUGGCUGUCACUUUGAGAAACAUGUCGAAGAGGCCGUCUGAGAGGGCCAAGUCGUAAAAAAAACCAAAAUAAUUUGACCCUAAUCCCUAAAUUCAGAGCAGAGCAAUACCGAAAGGACUAUUAUGAGUCAGGCGAUGAGCUGUUUUGCAAAUUCUGUCAACAUACUAUUGAUUGGACCCGUAAAAAUACGUGUGAUGACGACUUAAAGUCUAAAGCCCAUGUGAAGAACAAGGAAAAGCACUGUGUUAGCCAGAGCAUCCCUCUUAAAAAGACCAUUACUAGUGCAAGCGCUUCAGCAUAUUCAAGAAAAUAAUUUAUUCAGGACUUUGUGGCUGUGUGCACCGAGUCUGACAUCCCCUUAGAAAAGCUGAAGCAUUGCAAACAGGGAGGAGCGUUGCCCGAAAAUGAGAGACGGCCUCCGUCAAACGUAUGACUGCCAUUCUACAGAAGAUCUGUGGGAAGAAGUUUGUGGUGGUUGUUGACAAGACAACAGAUGCAAGGGAUUGCAGGGUUCUAAACAUGAGUCAUUGGUGUUGAAAACCAGUACUUUCUGGUGGAUGCCAUUUUCAUGGACAGAUGCAUCUACUCAACGUUUUCCCAAGUAAUACUAGCCUCCCUCCACAGCAACAGUCUGAACCUGAAUGAUGCCUGGGCAGUGGUCACAGGUAAUGCCUCCUACUGCCUGAAGGCAUGCAUGGGGGUUCUGAAAGGAGUGAUGCCCAACAGUGUCCAUGUAACCUGUCUCUGCCAUGUCAUCAAUCUAGUGGGUGAGACCUGGCAACACUACAAAUAUUUCACAUGUGACAUGGAUGAGAUCUGUCUUCUUCAAGAAGCCUGCCAGAAAGAGAUGAGUGAACUUCCUCAUUAUGAAGGAAUUUGUGCUGGCCAAGGAUCCCCUUGGAGCAGCAUCCUCCAGAUGGAAUAACUGGUUUGAAUCAGUGAAGUACCAUGCAGUUCAUCUGUACAGAGUUUUUGGUGGCAGAAAAGUCAUCAUCCCAGGCAGUCACGAACAUCCUCAGCCAGCUGGAAACAGAUGAGAAGGUUGCUGCAUUGUCGCCUAUAUUCUUGCAUUACUUUUUUUCAAUUUAUAAUGAGACGCUUAGUAGGACUCUGUAUUGAAGCACUUGUCUUGAUAAAAAAUAGUGCAAUGUUGUGUUGCAUCAUUACAAAUUUACUGUUAUAUCUUAUUAAAUUGUUUACUUUUUAUUCAUUCAUUUAUUAGACAGUCUUUCUGAUGAUACAAUUAGAGUAAAUUGUAAAACACAGAAUUCAGAAAAAUGAAAAUGGAAUUUUGAGAAAAAAAUAAAUGAAUUUCAUAGGGCCUUAGAUAUGCCACCCUGUCAGGUGGAUGGAUUAUUUUGGCAAAUAAGAAAUUCUCACUAACAAAGAUGUUAAGAAAUUUGGGCACCAAAUUUGAGCAAAAUUAGAUUUUUGUUCUAUAAGAUCUUUUAUUUCUGCUCAUGAAACAUAGGACCAACACUUUACAUGUUGCCUUUAAUAUUUUUGUUCAGUGUAUUUAGCUAUUAGCAUGUAUUAAUGUUAUUGUCAUUUCCGAUUAGCCUAAAAUAACUUUCCAUCGUCACUCGUGGAAAGCAAAUGGCGGACUUGCACUUCAUGGGGGUGCACAGUUGAGGAAACUAAUGCUGCGUACUCCAGUUUGUAAACCGUCUCAAGCACUCAAAAUUGGCUAGGAUUCUCCUCUUUUCAAUACUAGCCAUGUAAUAUGAAAAGUUAAAAAUAUAUAUUCUUAGAAUAUACUUAUUGACAAACUAAAGUGCUGUCAAGAUCUCCCCUGAACACAGAAUUUUUUAACCUUACAGAUAUAUACACAUCUGAGUUAGUUACCUCGCCCUCUUAGCCAUUUAAUCCCUCGUUCAUUGAAUGAGUGAAUUUAUUUUAUAACGACAUGAAAAGUAUUUGGUUGUAAUUGUAAUGCUGCAGGGUGGCCAACCAUCCUCCAGGAGAUUCCAGGAGCGCUUCUGGGUGUGCGGGCUUUUGCUCUAGCCCUGCUCAAACACACCACAUAAAAAAUCAGCUGCUCAACAGGACCUUGAUAAGCUGACUAGUAAUGCUUGAGCUGACUUCUGCUUUCGGAUAAGUAAAAAAUCAGUCAAAUCAAAAAUCGAAUCACAUUUUAUUGGUCACAUACACGUGAUCAAAAGCCUGCACACCCAGUAGCUCUCCAGAUGGAGGGUUGAUGGACUGCAUAUGUUUUAUACAGUAGCCUAUCAGUGCAGUAUUUUACUUUGGGGGGGUUAAGUGUUUUAAUCAAGGCGAUAAUGUAUAAUAUAUGGGAUCAGAGACCGACAGCCUUCCAUUUUCUGUACCAAUGAUAACAAUGAAAGACUGAAAAGCAUUUAAACAUUUUCAACAAUCUUGAA